rnacentral:rRNA from 1 species
CAGAGAUGCUUUAGUGCCUUCGGGAACNCUGAGACAGGUGCUGCAUGGCUGUCGUCAGCUCGUGUUGUGAAAUGUUGGGUUAAGUCCCGNAACGAGCGCAACCCUUAUCCUUUGUUGCCAGCACGUAAUGGUGGGAACUCAAAGGAGACUGCCGGUGAUAAACCGGAGGAAGGUGGGGAUGACGUCAAGUCAUCAUGGCCCUUACGAGUAGGGCUACACACGUGCUACAAUGGCGCAUACAAAGAGAAGCGACCUCGCGAGAGCAAGCGGACCUCAUAAAGUGCGUCGUAGUCCGGAUUGGAGUCUGCAACUCGACUCCAUGAAGUCGGAAUCGCUAGUAAUCGUAAAUCAGAAUGUUACGGUGAAUACGUUCCCGGGCCUUGUACACACCGCCCGUCACACCAUGGGAGUGGGUUGCAAAAGAAGUAGAUAGCUUAACCUUCGGGAGGGCGUUUACCACUUUGUGAUUCAUGACUGGGGUGAAGUCGUAACAAGGUAGGCGUAGUGCU